GACGAACGCUGGCGGCGUGCUUAACACAUGCAAGUCGAACGCUGAAGACCUGGCUUUUGUUGGGUUGGAUGAGUGGCGAACGGGUGAGUAACACGUGAGUAACCUGCCCCCUUCUUUGGGAUAACGCCCGGAAACGGGUGCUAAUACUGGAUAUUCACUGGCCUUCGCAUGGGGGUUGGUGGAAAGGUUUUUUCUGGUGGGGGAUGGGCUCGCGGCCUAUCAGCUUGUUGGUGGGGUGAUGGCCUACCAAGGCUUUGACGGGUAGCCGGCCUGAGAGGGUGACCGGUCACAUUGGGACUGAGAUACGGCCCAGACUCCUACGGGAGGCAGCAGUGGGGAAUAUUGCACAAUGGGCGAAAGCCUGAUGCAGCGACACCGCGUGAGUGAAGAAGGUUUUCGGAUCGUAAAGCUCUGUUGUAAGUCAAGAACGAGUGUGAGAGUGGAAAGUUCACACUGUGACGGUAGCUUACCAGAAAGGGACGGCUAACUACGUGCCAGCAGCCGCGGUAAUACGUAGGUCCCGAGCGUUGUCCGGAUUUAUUGGGCGUAAAGCGAGCGCAGGCGGUUUGAUAAGUCUGAAGUUAAAGGCUGUGGCUCAACCAUAGUUCGCUUUGGAAACUGUCAAACUUGAGUGCAGAAGGGGAGAGUGGAAUUCCAUGUGUAGCGGUGAAAUGCGUAGAUAUAUGGAGGAACACCGGUGGCGAAAGCGGCUCUCUGGGUCUGUAACUGACGCUGAGGCUCGAAAGCGUGGGGAGCGAACAGG
rnacentral:rRNA from 1 species